CUGAUGCAAUGGUUCUAAUUAAGUAACCACCUUUCAAAAUACUUCCCUUAGACACCAAUAGGUCAACCUAUUCUAAAUUAGGCUUGACUUUUGGUUUUUCACCAUAAAUUGAGAUUGCAUCCAUCUAAAGUGUAUUCAUUAUAUAACCCUACUCCUAGGGUUUGUAGUGAUUCAUGGAAAUCAUCACAUGUAUCCAUGAAAAACACAUGUGUGACUAUCACAUAGUCUUUAUGUUCAUGCUAAUUUCUUAUGAUAUUUUAUGUAU
rnacentral:lncRNA from 1 species